rnacentral:lncRNA from 1 species
CAACCCAGGAUUCCAAAGCUCUGCAAAGGAAUGCAGGUCUCAACUCCCCUACUGCUUAGCACUCACUACUAGACUAACCCUGCUGAGAAGACUGAAAAGAGAAAACAAUGGGAGCUUCCAAUCUUUGCCAUGGUAACCCAGGAGAACUACCACAGAACAGCACAGCAGCAUGCAUGGAUCAUCUCAUCGUCCUGAUUACACAGGCCUUGUCCCUGCUGGACACCUCUACUGCAAAUAUUUUCCAGCCGAGGAGGAAGAUAAGAUUUGGGUUUCUUGCUUUUCAUUCACUCUAUAAAACUCAAUGCCAGGUUGGCAGGUGGGGAGCCAGAUGCUUCACCCUUCCUUGGUUUCCUGCUUUCUAAAGAUACUAAAAGGAAAAACAAUUGAGGUUUGAAGGUGGGAGUCAAAAAUAAUCACCUUUUCCCUUGUUAACCCUAAUACUUGAAAUUGCUUUUAAAUCACUGGGCAGAUGAAAUCCCUAUUGUAAAACUUUGAAUCUCAUUUUAUCUGCUUGAAGCAGAAGGUCCGCUCUUUUCUGGAUUUCAUCAGCAACUUUGUAGCAGAACAGGAAGUAUAAUAAGUGAAUGAGGGGUGGCCUGUGUUUCACAGGGACAGGCCAGCUACACCUCCACAAGAAAUUCAAUCUUCUAGGUCUGAAUGUGUAGAGGGAGGAAAAGAGACAGUUGUUUUCAAUGAGC